rnacentral:rRNA from 1 species
UGCCUUGAAGAUCGGAGUGCUUGCACUCUGUGAAACAAGAUACAGGCUAGCGGCGGACGGGUGAGUAACACGUGGGUAACCUGCCCAAGAGAUCGGGAUAACACCUGGAAACAGAUGCUAAUACCGGAUAACAACAGAUGAUGCCUAUCAACUGUUUAAAAGAUGGUUCUGCUAUCACUCUUGGAUGGACCUGCGGUGCAUUAGCUAGUUGGUAGGGUAACGGCCUACCAAGGCGAUGAUGCAUAGCCGAGUUGAGAGACUGAUCGGCCACAUUGGGACUGAGACACGGCCCAAACUCCUACGGGAGGCAGCAGUAGGGAAUCUUCCACAAUGGACGCAAGUCUGAUGGAGCAACGCCGCGUGAGUGAAGAAGGGUUUCGGCUCGUAAAGCUCUGUUGUUGGUGAAGAAGGACAGGGGUAGUAACUGACCUUUGUUUGACGGUAAU